rnacentral:rRNA from 1 species
GACGAACGCUGGCGGCGUGCUUAACACAUGCAAGUCGAACGAAGUGGCGAACGGGUGAGUAACGCGUCAUCAACCUGCCCUUCAGAGGGGGACAACAGUUGGAAACGACUGCUAAUACCGCAUACUGAAGGAGGGGAUUGGGUCUGAUUAGCUAGUGGGAGGGGUAACGGCCCACCAAGGCGAUGAUCAGUAGCCGGGCUGAGAGGAUGAACGGCCACACUGGGACUGAGACACGGCCCAGACUCCUACGGGAGGCAGCAGUGGGGAAUAUUGCGCAAUGGACGAAAGCCUGAUGGAGCCAUGCCGCGUGUGUGAUGAAGGUCUUCGGAUUGUAAAGCACUUUAAGUUGGGAGGCGUUACCAACAGAAUAAGCACCGGCUAACUUCGUGCCAGCAGCCGCGGUAAUAC